ensembl:misc_RNA Metazoa_SRP Metazoan signal recognition particle RNA
GCCAGACACAGAGGCACAUGCCUAUAGUCCCAGCUACUUGGGAGGCUGAGGUGGGAGGAUCGCCUGAGCCCAGGAGUUCUGGACUGUAGUGCGCUAUGCUGAUCAGGUGUCCGCACUAAUUUCGGCAUCAGUAUGGUGACCUUACAGAAGCAGGGGACCACCAGGUUGCCUAAGGAGGGGAGAACCAACCUAGGUUGGAAACGGAGCAGGUAGAAACUCCUGUGCCGAUGAGUAGUGGGAUCAUGCCUGUGAAGAGCCACUGCACCCCAGUCUGGGGCAACAUAGCAAGACCCUAUCUCUA